GAUGAACGCUGGCGGCGUGCUUAACACAUGCAAGUCGAACGAUGAAAGCGGGAGCUUGCUCCUGCUGGAUUAGUGGCGAACGGGUGAGUAACACGUGAGUAACCUGCCCUUGACUCUGGGAUAAGCGUUGGAAACGACGUCUAAUACCGGAUACGACCUUCGGAGGCAUCUCCUGGGGGUGGAAAGAAUUUCGGUCAAGGAUGGACUCGCGGCCUAUCAGCUAGUUGGUGAGGUAAUGGCUCACCAAGGCGACGACGGGUAGCCGGCCUGGGAGGGUGACCGGCCACACUGGGACUGAGACACGGCCCAGACGCCUACGGGAGGCAGCAGUGGGGAAUAUUGCACAAUGGGCGCAAGCCUGAUGCAGCAACGCCGCGUGAGGGACGACGGCCUUCGGGUUGUAAACCUCUUUUAGUAGGGAAGAAGCGAAAGUGACGGUACCUGCAGAAAAAGCACCGGCUAACUACGUGCCAGCCGCCGCAGUAAGAC
rnacentral:rRNA from 1 species